rnacentral:rRNA from 1 species
GGUUGAUCCUGCCAGUAGUCAUAUGCUUGUCUCAAAGAUUAAGCCAUGCAUGUCUAAGUAUAAGCUUGUUUAUACGGCGAGACUGCGGAUGGCUCAUUAAAUCAGUUAUAGUUUAUUUGAUGGUCUCUUUUGUCUUUUUUUUACCUACUUGGAUAACCGUGGUAAUUCUAGAGCUAAUACAUGCGCAAGGUCCCGAGCGCGGGGGGCAGGGCUUCACGGCUCUGUUCUCGCAUGCGCAGAGGGAUGUAUUUAUUAGGUUAAAAACCAGCGGCAGGCCAGCAAUGGCCUGUCA